GACGGAGGAUGCAAGUGUUAUCCGGAAUCACUGGGCGUAAAGCGUCUGUAGGUGGUCAAAUAAGUCAACUGUUAAAUCUUGAGGCUCAACCUCGAAAUCGCAGUCGAAACUAUUAGACUAGAGUAUAGUAGGGGUAAAGGGAAUUUCAAGUGGAGCGGUGAAAUGCGUAGAGAUUGGAAAGAACACCGAUGGCGAAGGCACUUUACUGGGCUAUUACUAACACUCAGAGAAGAAAGCUAGGGUAGCAAAUGGG
rnacentral:rRNA from 1 species